rnacentral:pre_miRNA from 1 species
AAUCCUUGCUAUCUGGGUGCUAGUGCUGUCUCAAUGCAAUGUACCUGGGCAAGGGUUCA